rnacentral:rRNA from 1 species
GACGAACGCUGGCGGCGUGCUUAACACAUGCAAGUCGAACGAUGAAGCUGGAGCUUGCUCCGGUGGAUUAGUGGCGAACGGGUGAGUAACACGUGAGAAAUCUGCCCUUGACUCUGGGAUAACUGCGGGAAACUGUAGCUAAUACCGGAUAUUUUCCUUGGUGGGCAUCCACUGGGGAAGAAAGAAUUUCGGUCAAGGAUGAUCUCGCGGCCCAUCAGCUAGUUGGUGAGGUAAUGGCUCACCAAGGCGACGACGGGUAGCCGGCCUGAGGGGGUGACCGGCCACGCUGGGACUGAGACACGGCCCAGACUCCUACGGGAGGCAGCAGUGGGGAAUAUUGCACAAUGGGCGCAAGCCUGAUGCAGCAACGCCGCGUGAGGGAUGAAGGCCUUCGGGUUGUAAACCUCUUUUAGCAGGGAAGAAGCGAAAGUGACGGUACCUGCAGAAAAAGCACCGGCUAACUACGUGCCAGCCGCCGCGGUAA